rnacentral:rRNA from 1 species
UCACUUUCAACAACGGAUCUCUUGGCUCUCGCAUCGAUGAAGAACAUAGCGAAGUGCGAUAAGUAAUGUGAAUUGCAGUAUUCCGUGAAUCAUCGAAUCUUUGAACGCAAAUUGCACUUUCUGGUAUUCCGGAAAGUAUGCCUGUUUGAGGGUCAGUU